rnacentral:rRNA from 1 species
GCUUAGCCCUAAACAUAGAUGGCAAACACACAAUGCCAUCCGCCAGAGAACUACAAGUGAAAAACUAGAAACUCCAAGGACUUGGCGGUACUCCAUAUCGACCUAGAGGAGCCUGUCCUAUAAUCGAUAAUCCACGUUAUACCUCACCACCCCUUGCAAUUCAGCCUAUAUACCGCCGUCGUCAGCCUACCUUAUGAAAGAAACAAAGUAGACAAAACAGUUAAUAACUAAAACGUCAGGUCAAGGUGUAGCACAUGGAGUGGAAGAGAUGGGCUACACUUUCUACCACAGAACAUACGAACAGCACAAUGAAACUUGUACUAAAAGGUGGAUUUAGCAGUAAGAAAAACAAGAAACUUUGCCUGAAACUCGCUCUGGAG